UACGGAGGGUGCAAGCGUUAUCCGGAUUCACUGGGUUUAAAGGGUGCGUAGGUGGGUUGGUAAGUCAGUGGUGAAAUCUCCGAGCUUAACUUGGAAACUGCCAUUGAUACUAUUAGUCUUGAAUAUUGUGGAGGUCAGCGGAAUAUGUCAUGUAGCGGUGAAAUGCUUAGAGAUGACAUAGAACACCAAUUGCGAAGGCAGCUCACUACACAAUCAUUGACGCUGAGGCACGAAAGCGUGGGGAUCAAACAGG
rnacentral:rRNA from 1 species